GUAAUCUCUCGUUUAGGUGUC
rnacentral:siRNA from 1 species